UCUGAGGGGGUGAAGCCCCUCCACGGGCAGAGCGCCAGGCAGAGAGCCCCGCACAAAGCGAACUUUGUGUGCGGCGCUCACGUGAGGCGCUCGGGGCCCUCGGAAUCCCGAGGGAUCAGGCACUGAGGUUGGAAAAGACCUCUGAGAUCAUCGAGUGCAGCUUGUGACCGAUCACCACCUUCUCCACCAGACCACAGCCAUGAGUGCCACGUCCAGUUGUUCCUUGCACACCCCCGGCGAUGGGGACUCCUUCCCUGGGCAGCCCUUUCCGAUGUUUUAUCGCCCUUUCAGUUAACAAAUUCCUCCUGGUGUCCAGCCUGAGCCUCUCCUGGCCCAGCCUGAGGCCGUUCCCUCUCCUCCUGUCCCUGUUCUCCGGGAGCUGUAAAUUCGGAAGGAAAAUCAGUUAGAUUUAACUCGCAUUUCCUUACCCAGGGAGUAAAUCUCAAAAGAGUGAUUGCGUUAUUGUUCUCAAGCCUAAGCUGAGUACUUAUUUAGGUUAAAAAUAGCUAAAAAUCAUAUCUGGCCAAGCUUUGGUGCUAGGCCAUUUCAUCCAUCUUAAGCACUUUCUUCUUCAACAGUGAAGGUCAAUACAUAAUCCAUCAAAGAUGUGUUUCAUGGUAAAUUUAAAUACUUUUGAAAUGCAAUGUAGUAAAAACUGCGUCAAUUAAACCACCAUAUAUUUUGUUCUUCUGAUUUUUAUCAGUCAUGUCACCAGCACUGGAGUAGGCAGUGUGUGGUAACCCUUAGGAGCAGCAGCUCCCCAAUUACUGCUGCUGUUAGCAGAGCUGAUAAAGGCAAUUAUGCCUGGAAACAAUUAAUUGUGUUAAAAGAGCCUAAGUUACAUGCAUCACUUGGCAUGCAGCACCUUCCUGGCCUGCUUUUGUCCCUGCGUGGGUGUGGGUGUGUGUAUUAUUUCCGUGUGUAUAACUCUGGAGAGAGAGCCAAAAGGAGCCAGGAGCCAAGGGAGCAGGGGAGGGAAUGGCCACAUGGUCCUUGUCCUUUGGAGUUGAUAUUUUUGAUCUAACUGGGGGAAAAAAAAAAAAUCCAUAUAGUGACCAAAUACAAUUCUGAUGCAAUGAAAUUGCAGUCACACUCAGGAAGUGACCCAGCAGUUCCUGGCAGGACACUGUGAUGACGUGACAGCUUUAUGGUUGUUCUUUUGUCCUAUAACUAAACUCAGCUCCCCACACCUCCCACCCUCCUGAAAACCUUCUUUGUCAUUAUUAUCCACAGGGAAUAACGACCAGCAAGGUGACCCUGCUAGAGGAAGCCUUCCAGCCCUUUUGACAGCUGGGUGCAGAUCCGAGGGUGUGCUCAGAGGGAGUUUUACCACUGCCUCGCUGUGUGAUCCUGAGUGGAGUUCUCAGAUUCUCUCAACCGUGGUGCCUUUUGCUGAAAAAGUGGGAUAAUAAGAACUGUUCAGUCACAGGUAGGAGGGUGCCUUCCCGUUCUGCAGUCUUCAUGGAAGAUAAAGGUUUUGUGACAGCACAUCACUGGGACAGGAUAUGAAGGAUUGCAGAUAAACCAGGAUUUUGGGCUACAGGGUUUAUCAAAUAUUGCAGUGCUGCAGGCUGGGAUUUAUCAUCUCCCCAGGCUUGGUUCCUAUUUGCCUUUGCUGAAAUCCUUUUGAAGGGUGACAGCAAUCGAGUACAUUAGAACUGUAAGCAGGCAAAGUACAGAAGUCAGGCUUUCUUAUUACAGGAGAAAUGGAAUAAAAAAUUGUGAAGAUUA